rnacentral:lncRNA from 10 species
CUGGAGUGCGGCUGGCGGAGGAAGGAGCCUGGCGGCGGGUUGGGGGCUGGGUACAUAAAUAAAGGAUAAAAUAUUUUAUGAAACAAAUCUUCAAUCAAGUAUAACAUUUUGAUGCUUGGCAUCUAGACUCCCUUGUGCCCUCACUAUGCCAGCGGCAACUGUAGAUCAUAGCCAAAGAAUUUGUGAAGUUUGGGCUUGCAACUUGGAUGAAGAGAUGAAGAAAAUUCGUCAAGUUAUCCGAAAAUAUAAUUACGUUGCUAUGACAUGAUUACAGAGUGGCCUUAUUUGAGGUUGAACUUUUGUGAAAUUGUGUUCAACAGGAGAACAUUAGGGCGUGGCUAUGAGUGCCAGGUCUGCUCCUAGCAACACCAAAGCCUAGCUGGUAGUACCACAUGAGCUCCCAGAAGCUAGGGUGCUCUUUCUCAAACAAAAAAAUCAGAUGUGCCAGUGAAACGUUGUUGGUCUGCAAUUUGUUUU